rnacentral:rRNA from 1 species
AAGAGCUUGCUCUUUAUGAAAUCCAGUGGCAAACGGGUGAGUAACACGUAAACAACCUGCCUUCAGGAUGGGGACAACAGACGGAAACGACUGCUAAUACCGAAUACGAUUCUUGAGUCGCAUGACACAAGAAAGAAAGGGUGGCCUCUACUUGUAAGCUAUCGCCUGAAGAGGGGUUUGCGUCCGAUUAGGUAGUUGGUGAGGUAACGGCCCACCAAGCCGACGAUCGGUAGCCGGUCUGAGAGGAUGAACGGCCACAUUGGAACUGAGACACGGUCCAGACUCCUACGGGAGGCAGCAGUGGGGAAUCUUCCGCAAUGGGCGAAAGCCUGACGGAGCAACGCCGCGUGAGUGAAGACGGCCUUCGGGUUGUAAAGCUCUGUGAUUCGGGACGAAAGAUAAGCAGACGAAUAAUCUGCAUAAGUGACGGUACCGAAAAAGCAAGCCACGGCUAACUACGUGCCAGCAGCCGCGGUAAUACGUAGGUGGCAAGCGUUGUCCGGAAUUAUUGGGCGUAAAGCGCGCGCAGGCGGCUACUUAAGUCCAUCUUAAAAGUGCGGGGCUUAACCCCGUGAUGGGAUGGAAACUGAGAAGCUGGAGUGUCGGAGAGGAAAGUGGAAUUCCUAGUGUAGCGGUGAAAUGCGUAGAGAUUAGGAAGAACACCGGUGGCGAAGGCGACUUUCUGGACGACAACUGACGCUUAGGCGCGAAAGCGUGGGGAGCAAACAGGAUUAGAUACCCUGGUAGUCCACGCCGUANACGAUGGAUACUAGGUGUAGGAGGUAUCGACUCCUUCUGUGCCGGAGUUAACGCAAUAAGUAUCCCGCCUGGGAAGUACGAUCGCAAG